rnacentral:rRNA from 1 species
ACGAGUUUGAUCCUGGCUCAGAACGAACGUUGGCGGCGUGGAUUAGGCAUGCAAGUCGAACGAAUCCCUGAGGGCUUGCUCUCAGGGGGAAGUGGCGAAAGGGGCAGUAAGGCGUGGGUAACUUACCCCGGAGUUCGGAAUAGCCUUCCUAACGGAAGGGUAAUACCGAAUGUCGUAUUGUGGGGGCAUCUCCGUGAUACGAAAGCUCUGGCGCUCCGGGAGGGGCCCACGUGGUAUUAGCUAGUUGGUGAGGUAACGGCUCACCAAGGCCAAGAUGCCUAGCGGGUGUGAGAGCACGACCUGCGUCACUGGCACUGGGACACUGGCCAGACUCCUACGGGAGGCUGCAGUCGAGGAUCUUCGGCAAUGGGCGCAAGCCUGACCGAGCGACGCCGCGUGUGUGAUGAAGGCCUUCGGGUUGUAAAGCACUGUCGGGAGGGAGAAAAGGGAAACCUUGAUCGACCUCCGGAGGAAGCACGGGCUAAGUUCGUG